UACGGAGGGUGCAAGCGUUAUCCGGAUUCACUGGGUUUAAAGGGUGCGUAGGUGGGCAGGUAAGUCAGUGGUGAAAUCUCCGGGCUUAACUCGGAAACUGCCGUUGAUACUAUCAAUCUUGAAUACCGUGGAGGUCAGCGGAAUAUGUCAUGUAGCGGUGAAAUGCUUAGAUAUGACAUAGAACACCAAUUGCGAAGGCAGCUGGCUACACGAAUAUUGACACUGAUGCACGAAAGCGUGGGGAUCAAACAGG
rnacentral:rRNA from 1 species